rnacentral:rRNA from 1 species
GCGGACUGGUGAGUAACGCGUGGGUAAUCUACCUUUGGCAUGGGGAUAGCCACUAGAAAUAGUGGGUAAUACCGAAUACGUUCCCUGGGGGGAGGUUUCAGGGAAGAAAGGGUGCUACGGCACCGGCCGGAGAUGAGCUCGCGUCCCAUUAGCUCGUUGGUGAGGUAACGGCCCACCAAGGCGAUGAUGGGUAGCCGGCCUGAGAGGGUGUACGGCCACACUGGGACUGAGAUACGGCCCAGACUCCUACGGGAGGCAGCAGCUAAGAAUAUUCCGCAAUGGACGAAAGUCUGACGGAGCGACGCCGCGUGGAUGAUGAAGGCCGAAAGGUUGUAAAGUCCUUUUGCUGGGGAAGAAUAAGUGUGGGAGGGAAUGCCCGCAUGAUGACAUGAACCGGCGAAUAAGCCCCGGCCAACUACGUGCCAGCAGCCGCGGUAACACGUAGGGGGCGAGCGUUGUUCGGAAUUACUGGGCGUAAAGGGCAUGUAGGCGGUCUGGUAAGCCUGGCGUGAAAGGCCACAGCUCAACUGUGGGAUUGCGUUGGGAACUGCUGGGCUUGAGUUAUGGAGAGGGAGCUAGAAUUCCUGGUGUAGGGGUGAAAUCUGUAGAUAUCAGGAAGAAUACCGAUGGCGAAGGCAAGCUCCUGGCCGAUGACUGACGCUGAGGUGCGAAAGUGUGGGGAUCAAACAGGAUUAGAUACCCUGGUAGUCCACACUGUAAACGAUGUGCACUAGGUGCUGGGGCGGUAGCUUCAGUGCCGGAGCGAACGUGGUAAGUGCACCGCCUGGGGAGUAUGCUCGCAAGGGUGAAACUCAAGGAAUUGACGGGGGCCCGCACAAGCGGUGGAGCAUGUGGUUUAAUUCGAUGGUACGCGA